CUCCAACAGCACUCCCACUGAAACUCCCCUGUUAGCCGCUCUGUUCGCCGCCUCCUGUGCCGCUGCCUGAGUGCCUGGCUCCUUAUAUAGGACCCCUAAUCAGGUAAGCCCCGCCCCCAACUCAAGGCUCAGCCUCGCUCCCAGCACACAGCCCCUAGCAGCCUGCACACACACUCACUCACACACAAACACCACACACGACAAAAACC